rnacentral:tRNA from 2 species
AAGGUACUAGUAAAAUGCUAUAACAUUUCCUUGUCAAGGAAAAAUCGCAAGUUGAAGUCUUGCGUAUCUUA